ACGAACGCUGGCGGCGUGCUUCACCCAUGCCAGUCGAACGGAAAGGCCUUUUCGGAGGUACUCGAGUGGCGAACGGGUGAGUAACACGUGGGUGAUCUGCCCUGCACUCUGGGAUAAGCCUGGGAAACUGGGUCUAAUACCGGAUAGGACCGCACUUUAGUGUGUGUGGUGGAAAGUUUUUUCGGUGUAGGAUGAGCCCGCGGCCUAUCAGCUUGUUGGUGGGGUAAUGGCCUACCAAGGCGGCGACGGGUAGCCGGACUGAGAGGUUGGUCGGCCACAUUGGGACUGAGAGACGGCCCAGACUCCUACGGGAGGCAGCAGUGGGGAAUAUUGCACAAUGGGCGCAAGCCUGAUGCAGCGACGCCGCGGGGGGGAUGACGGCCUUCGGGUUGUAAACUCCUUUCGCCAGGGACGAAGCGUUUUGUGACGGUACCUGGAGAAGAAGCACCGGCUAACUACGUG
rnacentral:rRNA from 1 species